UAAAUUCCAUGGCAAUCCAUCCACUAGUUGUUGAGAUAUUUGAUUCAAAGCCACAAGCAUGCACCUCAUGGUGGCUCUAGUGGAAACAUCAGGGGAUCGCGAAAAUCAUUAGGAUUCAUCGUCAGGUAACACAAAAGUGUGUCCAAAAUUUAGUACCAAUCUACUGAGUAGAUGUUGAGAUAUUUCACAGGAUAAUUGAAAACAUUUGAGCUGUUGGUACACUAGAGGGAAACUCAAUGUCAUUAGUAAUCAUCUUCUGGACACUAUGGAUAUCUGUAUCUGUGUGGCAAUCCAUCUCAUAGUUGUCGAGAUAGUUUAGUCUGGAACAAUGUGGUGUAUUGUCCAUGUAUCAUCUACAAAUCUUAUAAAUGUGGCACUAAAUGGUAUGUAAUUUCAGAAACUGAGCAUUUUCUAAACACAUGCAGAGAAGAGUGUUUUCCCAAAGCAUGCUGGGUUAGGCCCUAGGCGCCGAAUGAUCCUGAAUGGAUGGAUGAAUGACGAAAGGAUGAGUGAAAUUCAAUCUAAUAAUAAUUCAGGCCAAUAUGUAUUGUAACGCUGAUCGUUUUUUUCUCCAUAGAGCAAAAACCAGUAGGCAGCAUUUAAAAAGCAGGAAUUCAACAACCAGGGCUUUAAGAGAGUUUGGUGUUCCUAGUUUACCAGACUUGCUGCAGCAUCUGAUCCAUCACUAAGGCACUACUAUCACUCUUGAUGUACAUCACCACAUCACUCCAGUAAGGUUGACAGAUGGCCAUCCACACUGUGAGAAAAACAAAGGCUUGGAUGGCAGAGUGAACAACCAGGUCGGCCCAUGUUUUAUCUCCCUUCACUUUGUAAAACGGCCUCCAAGGUUAACCCCGGCGGGCUUUCUUUAGUUUUAUUUAAGAGGAAAAUUGUGCACACAUGCCUUGAUUGUUUUUCUUUCUUUCCUGUUGAUAAAAAAUGAUU